GCCUAACACAUGCAAGUCGAGCGCGCCCUUCGGGGUGAGCGGCGGACGGGUUAGUAACGCGUGGGAAUAUGCCCGACACUAAGGAAUAGCCUCUGGAAACGGAGAGUAAUACCUUAUACGCCCUUCGGGGGAAAGAUUUAUCGGUGACGGAUUAGCCCGCGUUAGAUUAGAUAGUUGGUGGGGUAAUGGCCUACCAAGUCUACGAUCUAUAGCUGGUUUUAGAGGAUGAUCAGCAACACUGGGACUGAGACACGGCCCAGACUCCUACGGGAGGCAGCAGUGGGGAAUCUUGGACAAUGGGCGCAAGCCUGAUCCAGCCAUGCCGCGUGAGUGAUGAAGGCCUUAGGGUCGUAAAGCUCUUUCGCCAGAGAUGAUAAUGACAGUAUCUGGUAAAGAAACCCCGGCUAACUCCGUGCCAGCCGCCGCGGUAAUA
rnacentral:rRNA from 1 species